AGUGAACGCUGGCGGUAGGCCUAACACAUGCAAGUCGAACGGCAGCACAGUAAGAGCUUGCUCUUACGGGUGGCGAGUGGCGGACGGGUGAGGAAUACAUCGGAAUCUACUUUUUCGUGGGGGAUAACGUAGGGAAACUUACGCUAAUACCGCAUACGACCUACGGGUGAAAGCAGGGGAUCUUCGGACCUUGCGCGAUUGAAUGAGCCGAUGUCGGAUUAGCUAGUUGGCGGGGUAAAGGCCCACCAAGUCGACGAUCCGUAGCUGGUCUGAGAGGAUGGUCAGCCACACUGGAACUUGGACACGGUCCAGACUCCUACGGGAGGCAGCAGUGGGGAAUAUUGGACAAUGGGCGCAAGCCUGGUCCAGCCAUACCGCGUGGGUGAAGAAGGCCUUCGGGUUGUAAAGCCCUUUUGUUGGGAAAGAAAAGCAGCAGGUUAAUACCACGCUGUUCUGACGGUACCCAAAGAAUAAGCACCGGCUAACUACGUG
rnacentral:rRNA from 1 species